rnacentral:rRNA from 1 species
GACGAACGCUGGCGGCGUGCUUAACACAUGCAAGUCGAACGGAAAGGCCCUGCUUUUGUGGGGUGCUCGAGUGGCGAACGGGUGAGUAACACGUGAGUAACCUGCCCUUGACUUUGGGAUAACUUCAGGAAACUGGGGCUAAUACCGGAUAGGAGCUCCUGCUGCAUGGUGGGGGUUGGAAAGUUUCGGCGGUUGGGGAUGGACUCGCGGCUUAUCAGCUUGUUGGUGGGGUAGUGGCUUACCAAGGCUUUGACGGGUAGCCGGCCUGAGAGGGUGACCGGCCACAUUGGGACUGAGAUACGGCCGAGACUCCUACGGGAGGCAGCAGUGGGGAAUAUUGCACGAUGGGCGGAAGCCUGAUGCAGCAACGCCGCGUGCGGGAUGACGGCCUUCGGGUUGUAAACCGCUUUCGCCUGUGACGAAGCGUGAGUGACGGUAAUGGGUAAAGAAGCACCAGCUAACUACGUG